CUUGUUCGCCGGAGAGGAGACAAAGGCAUGUUUCUCGGAGUGCGUCGGUCGAUCUGAGUUUAGGAAGUCUGUAUCAUCAAGAAAAAACUGCAGGUGGCUGGAAGCUGUCGAUCAGCUGCCAGUCUGGAUAGUAGCCAUCAACUCAGCAAAGGGCUCCAGGCGAAUCAGCCCCACCCGUUUCUCUGCUGCCAUUCGAGACAGGAUGCUUUGUAAAAGUGGGAGCUCAUGAAGGUGGCACGGUGCAUGGAGGGACAGAGUGGCUGAC